rnacentral:misc_RNA from 1 species
AACGCACAUUGCGCCCAUUGGUAUUCCGAUGGGCAUGCCUGUUCGAGCGUCAUUAUCCUCCCUCAAACCCCGGGUUUGGUGUUGGACCCAAGUUGGCCGCCCCCGGGUGGCCAACUGGUCUCAAAGACAAUGACGGCGUCCGUGGGACCCUCGGUGCAACGAGCUUUCAUUAGCACGCGUCGAGUUUCAAGGUCCCUCCGGGCCGGUCUACCCCUUUUAAUUUUACAAGGUUGACCUCGGAUCAGGUAGGAAUACCCGCUGAACUUAA